UGACGAAGCGACGCCGCGUGGAUGAAGAAGGCCUUCGGGUUGUAAAAUCCUGUCAGGAGUUAAGAAAUAUAGGUACGAUAAUACCGUGUCUAUUUGACAAAGGCUCCAAAGGAAGCCACGGCUAACUCUGUGCCAGCAGCCGCGGUAAUACAGAGGUGGCAAGCGUUGCUCGGAAUUAUUGGGCGUAAAGAGCACGUAGGUGGGUUUGUAAGUCAGAUGUGAAAGCCUUCUGUUCAACAGAAGAAUUGCAUCUGAAACUGCGAGUCUUGAGUGUAGGAGGGGAGAAUGGAACUUCUGGUGGAGCGGUGAAAUGCGUAGAUAUCAGAAGGAACGCCGGCGGCGAAAGCGAUUCUCUGGCCUAUUACUGACACCCAGUGUGCGAAAGCUAGGGGAGCAAACGGGAUUAGAUACCCCGGUAGUCCUAGCCGUAAACGAUGGGCACUAAGUAGAGGGGUUU
rnacentral:rRNA from 1 species